rnacentral:rRNA from 1 species
AACGAACGCUGGCGGCAUGCCUAACACAUGCAAGUCGAACGAAACCUUCGGGUCUUGUGUCGCCCGGGUUCGUCACGCGUGGGAACCUUCCCUUAUGUUCGGCCUAACUCCCCGACUGGGGUGCUAAUACCGGAUAAUGUCUUCUGACCAAAGAUUUAUCGCCUUUGGUUGUGCCCUCGUUGGAUUAGCUUGUUGUUAGGGUAAUAGCCUACCAAGGCGACCAUUCAUAGCUGGUAUAAGAGGAAGAUCAGCCACACUGGGAGUGAGACACGGCCCAGAAUCCUACGGGAGGGAGCAGUGGGGAAUAGAGGAAAGUGGGGGAAAGGAUGAAGGAGCAAUGACGGGAGAGUGAUGAAGGCAGGAGGGAAGAAAAGCGCUUUUAACCGGGAUGAUAAUGACGGUACCGGGAGAAUAAGCCCCGGCUAACUACGUG